CCUACGGGAGGCAGCAGUGAGGAAUAUUGGUCAAUGGGCGAGAGCCUGAACCAGCCAAGUCGCGUGAAGGAUGACGGCCCUACGGGUUGUAAACUUCUUUUGUCAGGGAGCAAUUGGGUCCACGCGUGGGCUUAGCGAGAGUACCUGAAAAAAAAGCAUCGGCUAACUCCGGGCCAGCAGCCGCGGUAAUACGUAGGAUGCGAGCGUUAUCCGGAUUUAUUGGGGUUAAAGGUUGCGUAGGCGGAAUAUCAAGUCAGCGGUAAAACUUCGGGGCUCAACCCCGUCGUGCCGUUGAAACUGAUGUUCUUGAGUGGGCGAGAAGGAUGCGGAAUGCGUGGUGUAGCGGUGAAAUGCAUAGAUAUCACGAAGAACUCCGAUUGCGAAGGCAGCAUACCGGCGCCCAACUGACGCUGAAGCACGAAAGCGUGGGUAUCGAACAGGAUUAGAUACCCUAGUAGUC
rnacentral:rRNA from 1 species